GGCUCGGUGUUGAAAGGUCCAGUGACGAGCCAAGAUGGCUGCGCCCAUGUACUCCCCGUAGCAGUUGUUGACCUUUGUUUUUCCUCCCUGUCACCUGGCCCCUGUGGUGGCAGGCUGGACACGAAGACUAUGCUGGGCCGGACCCUCCGAGAAGUUUCUGCUGCACUGAAACAAGGCCAAAUUACUCCAACUGAGCUCUGUCUAAAAUGUCUCUCCCUGAUCAAGAAGACCAAGUUUCUAAAUGCUUACAUUACUGUAUCAGAAGAAGUGGCCUUAAAGCAAGCUGAAGAAUCAGAGAAAAGAUAUAAGAAAGGUCACUCACUUGGGGAUUUAGAUGGAAUUCCUGUUGCAGUAAAAGACAACUUUAGCACAUCUGGCAUUGAGACAACAUGUGCAUCAAACAUGUUGAAAGGUUAUGUACCACCUUAUAAUGCCACAGUAGUUCAGAAGCUGUUGGAUCAGGGAGCUUUACUAAUGGGAAAAACAAACUUAGAUGAAUUUGCUAUGGGAUCUGGUAGCACAGAUGGUAUAUUCGGACCAGUUAAAAACCCCUGGAGUUAUUCAAAACAGUACAGAGAAAAGAGGAAGCAGAAACCCCAUGGUGAGAACGAGGAGACAAAUUGGCUUAUAACUGGAGGAAGCUCCGGAGGGAGUGCAGCCGCCGUAUCAGCGUUCACAUGCUUUGCGGCUUUAGGAUCAGAUACAGGAGGAUCAACCAGAAAUCCUGCUGCCCACUGUGGAGUUGUUGGUUUAAAACCAAGCUAUGGCUUAGUUUCCCGUCACGGUCUCAUUCCCCUGGUGAAUUCAAUGGAUGUGCCAGGAAUCUUAACCAGAUGCGUGGAUGAUGCAGCAACUGUGUUGGGUGUACUGGCUGGGCAUGACUGCAAAGAUUCGACCACAGUACAAGAUCCUGUUAAAUCAUUUAUACUUCCCAGUUUGACAGAUGUAAGCAAACUAUGUAUAGGAAUUCCCAAGGAAUAUCUUGUACCAGAAUUAUCGAGUGAAGUACAAUCUCUCUGGUCCGAAGCUGCUAAGCUGUUUGAGUCUGAGGGGGCCAAAGUAAUUGAAGUGUCUCUGCCUCACACCAGUUAUUCAAUUGUCUGCUACCAUGUAUUGUGUACAUCAGAAGUGGCAUCGAAUAUGGCAAGAUUUGAUGGGCUAGAGUAUGGUCACCGAUGUGACAUUAAUGUGUCUACUGAAGCCAUGUAUGCUGCAACCAGACGAGAAGGCUUUAAUGAUGUGGUGAGAGGAAGAAUUCUCUCAGGAAACUUUUUCUUAUUAAAAGAAAACUAUGAGAAUUACUUCGUCAAAGCACAGAAAGUGAGACGACUCAUUGCUAAUGAUUUUGUGAAUGUUUUUAACUCUGGAGUGGAUGUCUUGCUAACUCCCACCACCUUGAGUGAGGCAGUGCCGUACGUGGAGUUCAUCAAAGAAGACAACAGAACACGAAGUGCCCAGGGUGAUAUUUUUACACAGGCUGUAAAUAUGGCAGCUCUCUGUUUUUUAGAACCACAUCAGGCUGCAUUAUAAUUCUUAAUAGCAAUGAUCAAACAUAGCAUAGAACACUCAAGAGGAGAUGGAAAUUCUGUUCUUACCUGUGCUUUUGGUUAUUGUGUUUAUUUCUCCCUGAUCUGUCAAGAUUUUUUGUUUUAUCACAUCCUUUCUGUUUAAAGAAAUUCCUUUAGCCAUUUUUUUAGGGUAGGUCUGAUGGCAACUAAUUCUCUUCGCUCUCUUCCUUUUCAUUCUUAAAAAUUAUUUUUGCUAUAUAUAGGAUUCUGUUUUGACAGUUCUUUUCUUUAGCACUUAAAAAAAAUGUGCUGCUUUCUUCUGGCCUGCUUAUUUCUGAUAAGAAACCCCCUACCUUUUAACAUUUUUCUUUUAAGUGACAUUGACUAUUGAAAAAUCUAGUUCACUUGUCCUGUAGGAUGUCCCCUCCAUAAUCUGAAUUGUCAGAUUGUUUCCUUGAGAUUGAGUUGAGUCCAACAUUUUUGACAGAAAUACUACAUAUUCUUGAUGUCAGGAAACAAUUAACAUUAGUUUGCUCUGCUUUUGGAAACUAAGUUGAACCCUUAGUUAAGGAAGUAACCGCAGAUGUUUUCCUUGUAGAGUUACAUUUUUCUUUUUAUCAGUUAUAAGCAUUUGGUGAAGUGAUACUUUGAGACCAUGUGAAUAUCCUAGUCCCCAAUAAACUUGAACUCAGUUUUAGCAUCCAUUGAUGCUGACUGCCUGAGUUAAUACCUAGAGAAUUACAAAAUGCUGACCUUUCUAACGAUAGCAUUCCAUCUCUGUAUAUUAGCAGUCUUCUCUAAAGAGCAGCUUUCUUUCUUGGUUUUAAUUCAAUGAAGUAUAAGCAAUUACUACCAUUAUUGUUUUUGCUGCUCAUAUUGCCUCAGAUUUAGUCAACAGGAGCCCCUUCAAACUGCAUAUAUCCUUUAGACCUGUCCCCAGUAAUUUUUGAAAACUUCCUUAUUUUAUGACGUAACAAGAUGUCCCAAGAUUUUAUACUUUCUCUGCUCAAACAUGGAAUUAAAACUACCCUGAGCUACUAUUUCUCAUCUAACAAACUGGAAAAAUUUACAAGUUCAACAAUUUAGUCUAUUGGCAAGGGUGCAGGAAAAAAUCUUGCUAAUGGGAGUUCAGAAUGGUACAGCUUUUUUGGAGGGGAAUUUGGCAUUAUCUAAUUACAUAUUUAUUAAAGGAUAAAUAUGGUGAAGCAGUCAUCUUUGUUGAGAAACUUUCAAGAAUAUCAGAAAACAUGUACACAGUAAUUCACUAGGCUAUAGCGUGAAAUAGCUAAGCACAGAAAACAACCUACAUGCCGAACCAUAGAAAAUGGCUGAAUAAAUUAUGGUAAACCCACAUAAUGGAAUAGAUGCAGGUAUAAAAAGGAAUGAAGAUGUUCCAAUAACAGUGAUUUUCAACAUUUAUCAUUAAGUGAACGAAGGAAGGGUUGCCAGCAGUGAGUGUCCCUAUGGCCCUCUCCAACCAAGGGUUGCCAAUAGGACUGCAGUUUAUUGGACGUGCAUUUUGUGACCAGCAGCUUCUUACAGUUGCCAAAUGGUUUGAAAAACAAGUACAGUUUCC